rnacentral:rRNA from 1 species
UGCGUAGACGGGAAGGUAAGUUAGUUGUGGAAUCCCUCGGCUCAACUGAGGAACUGCGACUAAAACUGCUUUUCUUGAGUACUGGAGAGGAAAGUGGAAUUCCUAGUGUAGCGGUGAAAUGCGUAGAUAUUAGGAGGAACACCAGUGGCGAAGGCGACUUUCUGGACAGUAACUGACGUUGAGGCACGAAAGUGUGGGGAGCAAACAA